GUGUUGGUCUCAAUAAUAAGAGGAGCACGUACACUAAAAUUGGAAGAUCACAGGGAAGAGUACCAUGACCCCUGCAUGAAUGACAGGCAGAUUUGUGAAGCGUUCCAUAUUUUU
rnacentral:snRNA from 1 species